AUUGAACGCUGGCGGCAGGCUUAACACAUGCAAGUCGAGCGGAGCGAGGGUGCUUGCACCUUAGCUUAGCGGCGGACGGGUGAGUAAUGCUUAGGAAUUUGCCUAUUAGUGGGGGACAACCUUUCGAAAGGAAUGCUAAUACCGCAUACGUCCUACGGGAGAAAGUGGGGGAUUUUUGGACCUCACGCUAACAGAUGAGCCUAGGUUGGAUUAGCUAGUAGGUGAGGUAAUGGCUCACCUAGGCGACGAUCCGUAGCUGGUUUGAGAGGAUGAUCAGCCCCACUGGAAAUGAGACACGGUCCCGACUCCUACGGGAGGCAGCCGUGGGGAAUAUUGGACAAUGGGGGAAAGCCUGAUCCAGCCCUGCCGCGUGUGUGAAGAAGGUUUUUGGAUUGUAAAGCACUUUAAGUUGGGAGGAAGGUUUGUAAGCUAAUAUUUUGCAGUCUUGACGUUACCAACAGAAUAAGCCCCGGCUAACUUUGUG
rnacentral:rRNA from 1 species